rnacentral:rRNA from 1 species
GAUGAACGCUGGCGGCGUGCCUAAUACAUGCAAGUCGAGCGAACGGACGAGAAGCUUGCUUCUCUGAUGUUAGCGGCGGACGGGUGAGUAACACGUGGAUAACCUACCUAUAAGACUGGGAUAACUUCGGGAAACCGGAGCUAAUACCGGAUAAUAUUUUGAACCGCAUGGUUCAAUAGUUAAAGACGGUCUUGCUGUCACUUAUAGAUGGAUCCGCGCUGCAUUAGCUAGUUGGUAAGGUAACGGCUUACCAAGGCAACGAUGCAUAGCCGACCUGAGAGGGUGAUCGGCCACACGGGAACUGAGACACGGUCCAGACUCCUACGGGAGGCAGCAGUAGGGAAUCUUCCGCAAUGGGCGAAAGCCUGACGGAGCAACGCCGCGUGAGUGAUGAAGGUCUUCGGAUCGUAAAACUCUGUUAUUAGGGAAGAACAUAUGUGUAAGUAACUGUGCACAUCUUGACGGUACCUAAUCAGAAAGCCACGGCUAACUACGUG